CCCUUAGAUGUCCGGGGCCGCACGCGCGCUACACUGAAGGAAUCAGCGUGGCUUUCUCCCUGACCCGAAAGGGUUGGGAAACCCGUUGAAUCUCCUUCGUGAUAGGGAUUGGGGCUUGAAAUUGUUCACCAUGGACGAGGAAUUCCCAGUAAGCGCGAGUCAUAAGCUCGCGUUGAUUACGUCCCUGCCCUUUGUACACACCGCCCGUCGCUACUACCGAUUGAACGGUUUAGUGAGGGCCUCGGAUUGGUCUCGGCCCGCUCUUUACCGGGCGGCGCCGUUGGUCGAGAAGACGCUCGAACUUGAUCGUUUAGAGGAAGUAAAAGUCGUAACA
rnacentral:rRNA from 1 species